GAGGUAGAAGCUGUCCUUGAACCUGGUGGAACAUGCUUUUGUACCUGCUGCCCGAUGGGAGAGAGCAGAAGAGAGAAUGUCGAGCGUAGGUGACAGGACUCUUAAGAUGGCAUUACUUGAAGAAACAAUAAAGAGGACAGACCACAACCAGCUUCUUAAACUACUUCAGGAUGUGGGUAUUCGAUAAAAGAAAAGUUUGUGACCCUCAACCUUACUCUGGAGAUAAGAGUUUAUUACCCAAGUUGAAACUCCAUUGCAGAAGACAGGAAGUACCCUGCCAUUGGGGCGACUGUCUUUCAGAUAGACAUUGAACCAAGGCCACAUCUGCCCUUCCAAGCGGAUGUAAUGGACCACAACUUGAAGAACAUUUGAUGGGUUCUACCCAUGUUCUGGCCAAGAGUUAACUCUUAACCAACAUCUGAAAUGGCUGAUCUAGUUAUUCCUUCUAUCACUGUUUCUGUGAGACUACUCUUAACAACCCAUUUUCCACAUUAAAAAAGAAACUAAAUUUCAGAAGAUACUUCUUUACUGUAGAAUAAUACAGCACUUAUGGACUUUGUAAAAUAAA